AUUAGUGGCGAACGGGUGAGUAACACGUGAGCAACGUGCCCAAGACUCUGGAAUAACUUCGGGAAACCGGAGCUAAUACUGGAUACGAGACGUAAAGGCAUCUUUAGCGUCUGGAAAGAAUUUCGGUCUUGGAUCGGCUCACGGCCUAUCAGCUUGUUGGUGAGGUAAUGGCCUACCAAGGCGUCGACGGGUAGCCGGCCUGAGAGGGUGUACGGCCACAUUGGGACUGAGAUACGGCCCAG
rnacentral:rRNA from 1 species